rnacentral:lncRNA from 1 species
ACAGUGCCACUUUCAACUAAAUAAAAACUAAAUGGUUUUCUUCAAUUUCAAUCACUACACACCGUACCUACUCUACCUAAUCAUCUUUUCAAUCUCAAAGCCACUUUGGAGAAGUUAAGCAAAGUAAAUCAGCCACAUUUUAAACUAAAUAAAAAUGCAAAUGUAGAUAAAAAAAAAACAAUUUCCAACGUGCUCAUCCACACAAAUAUGAAAAAGUUUCUUCACACAUUUCUAGCACUGGUACUGUGUUGGAAUAAAUGAAUCAAAGAAAAAUGAUUGAAAGUAGCGCAUAGACUCCACCUCUGCAGCUUAUUCCAACGUGCUCCAUCAAAAGCAAUUGCAAAUCAAUUCUCCAAAAAGCUAAUGAAAUGACUGUUCCUCUCUCCACAACUUUGCUGCACCGUUUCAAUCUAUAAAAAUUAGAAGGAGAUGAUCCAGAGAAAAAUAAAAUGAAGUGUGCAGCUGCAACAAUCAACGUGGAGCUCUUUCAAUUCAUCCACAAUCCCAUAACAUAAACAUUGUUCAAGAAAAAAAAAUGCUACUCAAAAGUUUCAGCCGAGAAUCAAUGAAUUGCCAUGUGUGGCUGGCCCCCCAGUUUUCAAUUGCCGAGAGCCCCCUUUCAAUGGGUGACGGCUGGUGCUAUUCUANGGGGCCAUGUGUCCCUCCAAAUAAGGAUGGGGUCCACCCUAAAAUAAAAGGGAAACCUAGGCCUAGUGUCCUACAAUAUUGGGCCUAGUCUAUUCUACCAAAAUUAGCCCAAAUUUCAAACAUUUUGUCCAAAAAGUUUAAACAAUAAAAUUAUAAUAUAACUAAAAUUUAAAAUGUCUAAUUUGAGAGUCUUGAAUUUAUUUGGUGUCCUCCAAAUGUCCCAAAUUGUGUUUCCAA